UUGUAUGAAUGGUUUGAUGAGGGAAUAACUUUCUUUAUAUUAUAUUAUUGAAUUUAAUAUUUAAGUUAAAAAGCUUAAAUUUAUAAAUGGGACGAGAAGACCCUAUAGAAUUUUAUAUUAUAUUUGGUAGGAUUUAAUUUAUGGUAUAAUUAAUUAUAUUUAUUUAUUAAAUAUAAUAUUUUGUUGGGGUGACAGUAAGAUUUGAUUAACUCUUAUAUAUAAUGAUUUACUUAUUGGUAUAUUUAAGAUCCUUUAUUAUGGAUAUUUAGAUUAAAUUACCUUAGGGAUAACAGCGU
rnacentral:rRNA from 1 species